rnacentral:lncRNA from 1 species
UUUAAAUGUACUUCAGUUUACUUGGUGUUCUGUGGGUCUUACUCUUCUCUUUUUUAUGAUAAACUGCUCAGCAAUGGUAUCUUUGAAAACAUCCUUUCUCGCCGUGAUAGCAUUACAGAUUUUUUACUAAGCUGUCGACGUGACAUUUUUGAAGUCAGGUAUAUUCCAUUACCACAGCUAUUUUUAAAAGUCAGCUUUACAAGCAGAUUAUUGUGCCAUAAGUGAUUGUCAAACAGAGAUUGUGGUUAUUUGGCUUUUCCCCUUUGGACUGAACUCCAAAAGCACUUGAGCUACCACUGUGCACUGUGUAAACUGCACAGACAAAGCAACUAGGGCCUGAAGACUUACAUAAUUACAGUCCAAACACUACCUCGCAUGCUGUUUUGGCUUUUUUUUGGAAAAUGACUUACUUUGCUUCUUAAAGACCCAGCUCCAACUUCUAGGAAAUGCACAGUAGGCACCAUUAUGACUAUCAUCACCAGCCGAACAAUGGCUGAUAUGAUACCUCACUGAUACAUACAUGGUGCUGACCGUGUUCCAGCAAAUGCAGCAGAGGCUCCUGCAUGGAUGGAGGAAUUAAACCAGAUGGUGCCCGCCGGUUCCACUGCAAGGUGUCAGGAGGGCCACGAUGGGAGCAACUGGUCUGACUUAAGUACAGCAUCCUCAAAGGCCCACCUCCCAGUCUCCCUUUCUGAAGAAUACUCCCGCUGCAGGCCCUGGGCUGUGUUCAUCAGUGCCAGUCUUCCGCAACAUGAAAUAAAAGCUGGUUACUAAAGUGUA